rnacentral:rRNA from 1 species
AGCGAACGUUUGCGGCGGGCUUAACACAUGCAAGUCGAACGAGAAUCCCUUCGGGGAGGAGAGUGGCGCACGGGUGCGUAACACGUGGAUAACCAACCCAUUGGUUUGGGACAACACCGGGAAACUGGUGCUAAUACCAGAUGUGUCGCAGCUGUCUUCAGGCGGUUGCGAGAAAGGCCCGCAAGGGUCGCCAACGGACGGGUCCGCGUCCCAUCAGCUAGUUGGUGAGGUAAUGGCUCACCAAGGCAAAGACGGGUAGCUGGUCUGAGAGGAUGAUCAGCCACACUGGAACUGAGACACGGUCCAGACUCCUACGGGAGGCAGCAGUGGGGAAUUUUGGACAAUGGGCGCAAGCCUGAUCCAGCAAUGCCGCGUGCAGGAUGAAGGCCUUCGGGUUGUAAACUGCUUUGUACGGUAACGAAAGGACUCUGGUUAAUACCUGGGCCCGAUGACGGUACCGUAAGAAUAAGACACCGGCUAACUACGUGCCAGCAGCCGCGGU